rnacentral:rRNA from 1 species
GACGAACGCUGGCGGCGUGCUUAACACAUGCAAGUCGAACGGAAAGGCCUGCUUUCCCUUGUGGAUUGCGGGUACUCGAGUGGCGAACGGGUGAGUAACACGUGAGUGAUCUGCCCCCAACUUGGGUAUAAGCCUGGGAAACUGGGUCUAAUUCCCGAUAGGACUGCAGGGUGGUGCCUGUGGUGGAAAACGAUUUUCUAGUGGUUGGGGAUGAGCUCGCGGCCUAUCAGCUUGUUGGUGGGGUAAUGGCCUACCAAGGCGGCGACGGGUAGCCGGCCUGAGAGGGUGGACGGCCACAUUGGGACUGAGAUACGGCCCAGACUCCUACGGGAGGCAGCAGUGGGGAAUAGUGCACAAUGGGCGGAGGCCUGAUGCAGCGACGCCGCGUGGGGGAUGACGGCCUUCGGGUGGUAAACUCCUUUCGACCGCGAGGAAGCCACCUGGUUGGAAGGGUGGUGACGGUAGUGGUAGAAGAAGCACCGGCUAACUACGUG